CCUACGGGGGGCUGCAGUGGGGAAUAUUGCACAAUGGGCGAAAGCCUGAUGCAGCAACGUCGCGUGAAGGAAGAAGGGUUUCGGCUCGUAAACUUCUAUCAAUAGGGACGUAAGAAAUGACGGUACUUGAAUAUGAAGCCUCGGCUAACUAUGUGCCAGCAGCCGCGGUAAUACGUAGGGGGCAAGCGUUAUCCGGAGUUACUGGGUGUAAAGGGUGAGUAGGCGGCAUGGUAAGCCAGAUGUGAAAGCCUUGGGCUUAACCCGAGGAUUGCAUUUGGAACUAGCAAGCUAGAGUACAGGAGAGGUAGGCGGAAUUCGUGGUGUAGCGGUGAAAUGCGUAGAUAUUAGGAAGAACACCGGUGGCGAAGGCAGCCUACUGGACGGUGACUGACGCUGAGGCUCGAAAGCGUGGGGAGCAAACAGGAUUAGAUACCCGAGUAGUC
rnacentral:rRNA from 1 species